GUUUUAAUAGUUUAAAUUAUAUAAAAUCAUGAUUUUGUAAAUCAUAGAUAAGAACAUCUUUUAAAACU
rnacentral:tRNA from 1 species